rnacentral:rRNA from 1 species
GAUGAACGCUGGCGGCGUGCUUAACACAUGCAAGUCGAACGGAAAGGCCCUGCUUUUGUGGGGUGCUCGAGUGCCGAACGGGUGAGUAACACGUGAGUAACCUGCCCUUGACUUUGGGAUAACAUCAGGAAACUGGGGCUAAUAUCGGAUAGGAGCUCCUGCUGCAUGGGGGGGGUUGGAAAGUUUCGGCGGUUGGGGAUGGACUAGCGGCUUAUCAGCUUGUUGGUGGGGUAGUUGCUUACCAAGGCUUUGACGGGUAGGCGGCAUGGGAGGGGGACCGGCCACCUUGGGACUGCGGUACGGCCCAGAAGGGUACGGGAGGCAGCGGUGGGGAAUCUUGCACAAUGGGCGGAAGCCUGAUGCGGCAACGCCGCGUGCGGGAUGACGGCCUUCGGGUUAUAAACCGCUUUCGCCUGUGACGAAGCGUUAGUGACGGUAAUGGGUAAAGAAGCACCGGCUAACUACGUG